rnacentral:rRNA from 1 species
UACAGAGGUCCCAAGCGUUGUUCGGAUUCACUGGGCGUAAAGGGCGCGUAGGCGGCCCUGGUAAGUCUGCGGUGAAAGCCCGGGGCUCAACCCCGGGUCGGCCGCGGGUACUGCCGGGCUGGAGUGCCGUAGGGGCAGGCGGAAUUCCGGGUGUAGCGGUGGAAUGCGUAGAGAUCCGGAAGAACAUCGGUGGCGAAGGCGCUCUGCUGGACCAUAACUGACACUCAGGGACGAAAGCUAGGGGAGCGAAUGGG